rnacentral:rRNA from 1 species
UACGGGGGGGGCAAGCGUUGUUCGGAAUUACUGGGCGUAAAGGGCGCGUAGGCGGCCUGCUAAGUCGGACGUGAAAUCCCCCGGCUCAACCGGGGAACUGCGUCCGAUACUGGUGGGCUCGAAUCCGGGAGAGGGAUGUGGAAUUCCAGGUGUAGCGGUGAAAUGCGUAGAUAUCUGGAGGAACACCGGUGGCGAAGGCGGAUCUCUGGGCCUUACCUGACGCUGAGGCGCGAAAGCUAGGGGAGCAAACAGG